GACGAACGCUGGCGGCGUGCUUAACACAUGCAAGUCGAACGGAGAGGCCCUGCUUUUGUGGGGUGCUCGAGUGGCGAACGGGUGAGUAACACGUGAGUAACCUGCCCUUGACUUUGGGAUAACUUCAGGAAACUGGGGCUAAUACCGGAUAGGAGCUCCUGCUGCAUGGUGGGGGUUGGAAAGUUUCGGCGGGUGGGGAUGGACUCGCGGCUUAUCAGCUUGUUGGUGGGGUAGUGGCUUACCAAGGCUUUGACGGGUAGCCGGCCUGAGAGGGUGACCGGCCACAUGAGGACUGAGAGACGGCCCAGACGCCAACGGGAGGCAGCAGUGGGGAAUAUUGCACAGUGGGCGGAAGCCUGAUGCAGCAACGCCGCGUUCGGGAUGACGGCCUUCGGGUUGUAAACCGCUUUCGCCUGUGACGAAGCGUGAGUGACGGUAAUGGGUAAAGAAGCACCGGCUAACUACGUG
rnacentral:rRNA from 1 species